CUGCACUCUUCCUCUCCCAGUUACACAGAUUUCUCUGUGUCAUGCAGCUGCUAUGGGGGGAUGGAGGAGGAGUUGCAUUGGCAAUUCAAGACUGCCUUUCUUACCCUUUUCAGUGCCUCUUUCAGUGAUACGAAGCUAAAACCAGAUACUGCUUUCAUAGUACUCUUCUGACCAUGGUUUUCUGGAGUUUUUUCGUAUGGAGUUUGUAAGCUUCCUGACAUGGAUUAUAACUGUACUUGAUGGAGCACAGUUAUAAUAGCUGCUUUAGAGUCCUUGAUAAUUCCCACAUCUGAAUCAUCUCGAGUUAUUUUUGGCAGAUUUUGAUGGAUGUACAUUGAUGGAUAGCCACAUGGAUCCAGAAAAUAAAGAUAAGUAUGUACCAGAGUGAAUCAAGAAAGUCCUAGGAUUUGAUAUGUCAGUCCAUGAUUCUCCAACUAGCUUUCCUGUUUCCAACUGAAGACUUCUACUCUGCAUAUUGACUAAAGCAGAAGAUAUGCAGGGAAGCUCAGUCUCUCAAUUGAGUGGAUUCUGAAAUUUAUCCUGUUGUCUUCAGCUACUAAGGCUAAUUUGCAAAUCACACUGUGUACGGGUAAGCAUAAACUGUAAGCAUAUAUAUUAAUCUUCAUUUUUUUAAAUUGUAAUCAUUCACAUAUAGGCCUGGUCCAUACUUAAUUUCUUUCUUGGCUUCAUUAUUUUUUUUUCUGUCAAACAUUUUAAAUUGCUAUGUUCCAGGUACUUAAUAUAUAUAUGAGAGUAAGAUGUGAUGUUUAUUCUCUGACAUCUCAUAGCCUGGUUUCCAGGUACUGGUCCAGCUCUGUUAGCCUCCUGCCUGGAGAUGGUAAUUUCGUUUCAACUUCACCGGUCCUUUUCCAAGGAACAGGGACCAGGGAGACCCAGGGACCAAUCUCUUGGGCCUCAACUUUCUGAGACUUUAUUGUAUCUAAUAUGGACCCUUUUGAACAUUAAAACUCUUCGCUUGAAUAUUUUCACCACUUGGAUAGAGACCUGUGUUUCCAUUUACUACCUCCAGAUUUGGGAUAGAAUUCCUGACCCAAAUGUGAUUCAUAUUUUAAUAUCAGAUCUGUUUGGAAUCUCUAUUUUGGGCCAAUAGUACCCUCCUCGUGUGUAAGCCUCAGAGAGCAAUUACACUUGGCCUUUACUAUUUCUGGACUCUCUAUCUCCAAGUAUCUCUAUCACAGCUCAGCCACAUUAAUAUGAAAGCAUAAAGUGGCAUGAUAAACCAACACUUUUUAAUGUUUUCUCAUUCCUGGAUGCUGUGUCAUUGUCAAUUGUAACAAUACUCCUUUUUCUUUCUUUUCUUUUCUUUCCAGUUUUAUCUCUCCCAAUAAAUACAAUAUUCUACAUCCUCUAUUGUACUCAGAAUUUGGAAAUUAACCCCAGUAUGCUGAUUAAUAGUCAUAACUAUAUCUAGAUAACAAAAUAUGCAUAUAUAUGAAGGAGGCAGACAAUAGGGGAGGGCAGGUUGAAAGUUUUUUUUAUCCUAAUUUCUUGAAACUCUUCUUACAUGAGUCCCUUGACUACUCUUACAUAUGCAUCAUUUUCUCUCUCAUGAUCACAUAUGCUUUAAAAUAUGUAAAAUUUAUAUGAAUAUAUUUUAUGCCUGGCUGCAUUUUAAUACCUCCCGUCAAGUGUUCCAGGGUGAAAUAGGAGCACUUGGGAAGCACUGCAAUGAAUUUACUGCUUAUUCAGCAUAUUGAUAGAGUCUUCUCUAAAACAACAAAAAGUGUUGACAGCAAAUUGAAGAUCUUAAAGGUAAGACAGACUGAUCAUACUUUAGUUGUUUAUAAAGCUAAACUUAUACAUAUUCACACUCAGGUUUUGAGGAAAUGAAUUCUUAUAUAGAGUAUUUUCUUACCCAGAGUUUACUGUUCCUCGAGUUAAAAAAAAUUAAAGAAUGAAAGUGAGUCUUCAUCAUUUUAUUCCUUUCUUUUUCCCCAUCAACCUUUACAUUAUUUUCUAAUAUUUUUCUGAACUUUCUGGCCAAUAAUCAAGAUUUUGAAAAGAAUAGGCUGUUUUAAUGUCAGUUAGUUCCUUACUAAACCUUUAUUACAACUUUUUUUCUCACUUGUCUAUUUCCUUGAGCAAACAUGACAUGAAGCAUUUUCACAAGAGCCUGUUCCCAGAGAAAUUAAGGUCAGUGAAAGGCCAGAUCAAAUGGUAACAGAUUUAGAAGGAAGGAUGAAUGAUGCAUUUCUUAACAGUAACAGAGAAAUCAAGUUAAUGCACUUAUUUCUUUUACUUUUGCAGACCAUAAAAAUGCAGUUUUUUAUACAACAGCAUGUAAAAUAAUCUUUAAUCCAGUAUUCUGAUUUGUUUUAGGUAAUAUGUAUUAACUAAUAGUUUUCGGUUGUUAGUUUAUUUUUUUCUGUUCUGAGAAACAUAAAUGGCAUAAAUUUGAAUGUGAAAUAAUCAGGUAUGAAUAAUUAAAUGAUUAAGUCAUUGAAGUCUAAAGUUCAAACAGAAAUAAGAAAAUUAGAUUAUGUGGAUAAAUAUUGACCAGAUAAACAAAGAACCUCAUUAUUUCUUAGUAAUGAUGGUCUUCCUUCCACAAAUGUCAACAUCACCUUAUAGUCACUCAGAUGUGAAACCUAAAGUCUCCCUUGAUUCAGCUAAAUGAUACGUUCCUUCUGGUACAGUCGAUUCACCUAAUGAAAUAUUUUUCCACUUCAUCUCACCCUUUGCACUGAUCCUGACACAACUCAGUCUAGGUACAACCUUUGCACAUGAUCAACUGCUUUUCUUACUUUCCAGCCUUUUCUCCAUCCAUCCAGUCUAUAAUCAGUUUUAUGUUCUCAAAACAUAUGUGUCAUAAGUGUUCUUCCAUGUUCAUAAACCUUCAGUAUUUCCAAAAAUUUAUAAGGGUGGUUCAGCAUCUGUAUAUUAUAUAAACAUCACCUGGGCAUUUGAUUUAAAUGCAGGUAUUAAAUAUCUAGAAACAACUCUAGAUACUCUGUUUGAAAAGAUUGUCUGGCCAAUAUUGCUUCUUAAAUAUUACUUCAGGGUGAUUAGAAAGCAGGUGGUCCAAAGUUUCACAAGUGUUAUUCUACAGAAUAAAGUUUAGUCAUUGCCUUCCACAAGUAAAGGCACAAUGGACCUUGCUAACUAUAUCUCUUACCCAACGAAGCAAGUUCUUUACUUUAGCUAAGAUUCAUAUUGAUUCUCUUUUCAUAUCCCCUUUUUCAUUAUUGUCUUCUCCCACUUAUGAAGGAAAGUAUGAGUCUUAGUCAUCAUCAGUCUUUUAUAGUGCAUUGAGGUGCAAAUAAAAAGACGAAGUUAUAUAUCAUUAUCUGAGAUACCUCCUUUAACAAAGACACCAUCCUUUUGGGAGGGCUUUAUGACGUUCACUGGCUUGUAUGUGUGUCUGUAUAGUGUAAGGCAUGAUAUAUGGAAUGGAAUUUGUGUUAUCCAGUUAGCGUUUUGAAAUCAAAUUAAGAUAUACAGUACUUUAGAGUGACUAUUAGGAACACUGACAAUUUUAUUUGUAUAAGUUUAAAAAUAGUAUUUUCCAACAAUUGUAGAAAAAUAGAUGAUUUCUGACAGAGAGCCUCAAAGUUGCUGGAAACCUGAUCCAUCUCUUUCUCCCUUUCCCUCUCUCUCUCUCUCUAUAGUUAUAUAAUGAAGUUUAUACAUAUAAACUUAUGUUAUAUAUGAAUUAUAUA